rnacentral:tRNA from 1 species
AACAAGCCGGGAUAGCUCAGUUGGUAGAGCAGAGGACUUG